GACGAACGCUGGCGGCGUGCUUAACACAUGCAAGUCGAACGGAAAGGCCCUGCUUGCAGGGUACUCGAGUGGCGAACGGGUGAGUAACACGUGGGUGAUCUGCCCUGCACUUCGGGAUAAGCCUGGGAAACUGGGUCUAAUACCGGAUAGGAGCCAUCUUUAGUGUGAUGGUUGGAAAGUUUUUUCGGUGUAGGAUGAGCUCGCGGCCUAUCAGCUUGUUGGUGGGGUAAUGGCCUACCAAGGCGGCGACGGGUAGCCGGCCUGAGAGGGUGGACGGCCACAUUGGGACUGAGAUACGGACCAGACUCAUACGGGAGGCAGCAGUGGGGGAUAUUGCACAAUGGGCGCAAGCCUGAUGCAGCGACGCCGCGUGGGGGAUGACGGCCUUCGGGUUGUAAACUCCUUUCGCUAGGGACGAAGCUUUUUGUGACGGUACCUAGAUAAGAAGCACCGGCUAACUACGUG
rnacentral:rRNA from 1 species